GAUGAACGCUGGCGGUAUGCCUAACACAUGCAAGUCGUACGAGAGUUUUUAACUCAAGUGGCGGACGGGUGAGUAACACGUGAGAAUUUGCCUUUAGGAGAGGGAUAACAAUUGGAAACGAUUGCUAAUACCUCAUAUGCUUUAGAGUGAAAUAGAUUUAUCUGCCUAAAGAAAAGCUCGCGGCUGAUUAGCUAGUUGGUAAGGUAAUGGCUUACCAAGGCGACGAUCAGUAUCUGGUUUGAGAGGACGAUCAGACACACUGGAACUGAGACACGGUCCAGACUCCUACGGGAGGCAGCAGUGGGGAAUUUUCCGCAAUGGGCGAAAGCCUGACGGAGCAAUACCGCGUGAGGGAAGACGGCCUAUGGGUUGUAAACCUCUUUUUUCAGGGAGGAAUUAAUGACGUGUACCUGAAGAAUAAGCAUCGGCUAACUCCGUGCCAGCAGCCGCGGUAAGACGGAGGAUGCAAGUGUUAUCCGGAAUCACUGGGCGUAAAGCGUCUGUAGGUGGUUUAAUAAGUCAACUGUUAAAUCUUGAGGCUCAACCUCAAAACCGCAGUCGAAACUAUUAGACUAGAGUAUAGUAGGGGUAAAGGGAAUUUCCAGUGGAGCGGUGAAAUGCGUAGAGAUUGGAAAGAACACCAAUGGCGAAGGCACUUUACUGGGCUAUAACUGACACUCAGAGACGAAAGCUAGGGUAGCAAAUGGGAUUAGAUACCCCAGUAGUCCUAGCUGUAAACAAUGGAUACUAGAUGUUGAACAGAUCGACCUGCGCAGUAUUAAAGCUAACGCGUUAAGUAUCCCGCCUGGGAAGUAUGCUCGCAAGGGUGAAACUCAAAGGAAUUGACGGGGGCCCGCACAAGCGGUGGAGCAUGUGGUUUAAUUCGAUGCAACGCGAAGAACCUUACCAGGGUUUGACAUGAUACGAAUUUCUU
rnacentral:rRNA from 1 species